AAGGGGCUUGGAAAACAUGCACAUUUAUUUACAUUUAAUAACUUAUUUGGUUAAAUGGCAGAAGAUCAUCUCAGCAAAAUGCAAAACUGUUUAAUCAGUUGGUCUGGGGCAAUGAAUAAGCAUGUUAAUUGAUUCCAUCUUCUGUUGCUGAGUUGUUUAUAACUUUACACAUUUACAGCGUUGAUGUGGAAUUUCUUACUAGCUGAUAACAAGAGUCUCUGGGCAACUUUUAGCAGGUUGCUAAGGGACCCUGUGCAUUUCACUGUUGGUUUUUUAUAUAAAAAGGGACUUUAUUUUUAGAUUUUCAUGCAAUGUUGAUUUGAUUGCAUCAGAGGAAAAGGAAAGACAUCAGCAAUAACAGAGGCUAUCCAACAGGCAGAAAUUCAGAAGACACAGUUUUCCCUAACAUGGAGAUAUGAUGAUGGAGGAGGCAAUCCAAUGCAAAGUUGAGCUUGUACCUUUCAGCAUACCAUCGUAAAACUUAUUUUUCCUAAGGAUGCUUUUUACAUUCUUCACUGGCUCUGAAGGAAGCUGAAGCUCUUGAAACAUAAAUAUCUGCAUGCCUAUGUGCACGCAAACCUUCCCCCACUAUCAAGUAAGAUCCAGACAGUGCAAAUAAUUAAACAAAUCAUUCUGUUGUAGACACGGCUCCUACAGAGAUUACCCCAAGAGAUAAGCAAUUGUUGAUGAAAAUGAAGUACCAUUGACCGAUCGAAUGUAUCUCAGUCACAGAGUCCAUGUAAGAGAUGAAUCCGAUAAAGCAGAAUGGAUUCCAAAGGCAGAGGCGAGAGCCAGCACCCUGGAGCACUGCAACAGAAAUGCUGACAUUGAUGAACUCAGGCAUUCAUAA